CACGAAAUGACUUGAGCUAAGAAUAAAAUAUAUUAGUAAAAAAGUGUUGCAUAAUGUGGAGAGUUGUUCUUAGGGGUGAAAGGCCUGCCAAAUGUCUUGAUAUCUUGAUUACCUCAAAACUUAUUUAGUAUAAGGCAAAUCUAGAGUGCUAAGAUUUUAGAUUGGAAUAAACUUAUAAAAUUAGUGUUUAUAAAGUGUAAAAGCGCAUAAAUUCUAAUACAUAAUAUUAAUUUAUCAAGGCUAUUUAAACUAGAGGGAGAUAUUAUAAUAAUAAUUUAUAUUUAUAAUGUUAACAUAAGUAAUAAUUAAGGUAUACCAAAUAAACUCGGCUAGAUUUUCUCGACUGUUUAUCAAAAACAUAGUUUAAUGUAUUUAUAUUAAGUGCUUCCUGCUCAAUGAUACACUUAAAUAGCCGCAGUACCUUGACUGUGCAAAGGUAGCAUAAUCAAUUGGCUUAUAAUUGAAGUCUAGAAUGAAAGGAUAUACGGGAAAUUACUGUAUCUGGUAUUUAAGAUAAAAUUGGUUUUCAAGUGAAAAUACUUGUAGAUAAUUGUUAGACGAGAAGACCCUAGAAAUUUGUGUAAAUGUUUAGUUGGGGCAACGUAGUAGGAAUAACCUACAGUAAGGACAGGAAACAGAUUAGGUAGAAGAAAUUACUCUAGGGAUAACAGCAUAAUUUAUAAAAGUUUGUGACCUCGAUGUUGGAUUUGGGAAUUAUAGUUCAGAA
rnacentral:rRNA from 1 species